rnacentral:rRNA from 1 species
UACGUAGGGUGCGAGCGUUGUCCGGAAUUACUGGGCGUAAAGAGCUCGUAGGUGGUUUGUCGCGUUGUUCGUGAAAACUCACGGCUUAACUGUGAGCGUGCGGGCGAUACGGGCAGACUGGAGUACUGCAGGGGAGACUGGAAUUCCUGGUGUAGCGGUGAAAUGCGCAGAUAUCAGGAGGAACACCGGUGGCGAAGGCGGGUCUCUGGGCAAUAACUGACGCUGAGGAGCGAAAGCGUGGGGAGCGAACAGG